ACACAACCACACACACACACACACACACACACACACACAUACAUACACACACACACACACACACACACACACACACACACACACACGGACACGACACGGACACGGACACACAUACACACACGCAGAGUCAACAAGCAAACGUUACUAUUUUCAUGUCAUAAAGUCCCUCUGCAUCGACGUUCAUCAAGCGUUGAAAUGUUAUAAUUAUAGGUUUUCACAUUGAAGGUUUCCCUCAAGUUAAAUCAGAUCAACAAAAUCGAGAGUCAUCUUUAUAUAUAAAAGUGAAGUUGUGUGAGUGUCUGUCUCCUACGAUUUAGAUUCCUAACUACUCCCACAUUUUGCGGUGCAGUUUAACCAAAACCGGGUAUCUUAUAGUCGUGAUUCAUAUCGAGCCCUUCUGAGUAUUAGCGCGCGUCUACGAUGAGUCUACGAUUUAAAAAAAAAAUUACCAUCAUUUUUUCCAUUUUAAUGCAUUUUUUCACUAUUAUAUAAGGGAAGUAACUCUCUAAAAAUGUCUACGAUGAGUCAACGAUUUAAAAAAGAAUUUACCAUAAUUUCUUUUCCAUUUUUAAUGCCUUUUUUGGCUAUUUUUUGGCUAUAACUCUCUAAAAAUGCUUAUAUAGUUAUUUCCCUUACAAACCCGAGCAACGCCGGGCGAUACUGCUAGUCAUCAUAUAAUUUUCAAACUGACUUAACAGUCUAAACACAAUAUUGUGAAUGUUAAUUUUCAGCCGUUUAAUACGACUUAGUCAUCUUCAUGUUAUUGUGAAACGUCUGACUUAAGAGUCGAACUACUUGUAAGAGUACACUUGCAGUUGUUUAACGCAGGUGCAGUCAGAAACUUGAACACGUAUUUAUAAUGAACGCAUUCUAUCCAUCAGCAUUCUAUAUUUUGGUUUCAGACAUAACAUAUACAAUAUAUGUAGGAGGCGGGGUUGAGAUAUUUGGUUGCCAUUGAUGCCUUGAUGUUUGAUUAGAUAAAGGAGCUGGCGGUCAGAGUAAACCCUUGUGGAAAGAAUUUAUUGUAGGGAUGCAUAUUUAAUCUAAAUGGAUAAAAGGUUUUUAAGUAACUAAUAAAUGUGUUACACAUCAGUGAAUUAGUGAUUAUUUCGUCUGAGAAUAAUGGUUUACACCCAAAAUAUUUGGCAAAAUCUAACAUGUAAUAACACAAACAUACGCACACGUAGAUAUAGUUUCACACAGACAUAGACAUCUAUAAGCAAAGGGAGCGAGAGGAGAGAGAGAGAGAGAGAGAGAGAGAGAGAGAGAGAGAGAUGAGAGUAAUAGAGACUGAGAAAAAGACGUAGCGAGAUGUCAAUACAGAAGGGAAUGUUUUGUGACAUAGAAGUUUUAUGAAUACAGACGUAUGGCUGAAAGACUUCCAUCUGCAUAAUUCUCGAAAUAGUAUGGAUUUUAUAGGAUGGAAUUAACCAUUUGGGAAUUUAGUUCGGUAAUAUUUUAUUCUUUCAAAAUAUUUCCCUUAUGAUUAAUUCUACUGAGUAUUCCGCAAUGUGUGUUAAAUUUGAUAUAGAAGCGCAUCGAAUAAUUUGUUACGACAUAUGGACAUUGGAAUACAUACAGUUAAAUGUUUAAAAGAAUCCGAGUUUGAGAUAUCUCAACGCUGGAUGCAAUAGUCACACAAUAAUGCCUGUUAUUAAAAUAUAGCAAUGGAAUUACCGAUUCUCUUUACGUUUGAUGAUAACAAAAAGAAAUCUCUUGAAACCAAUACCUCGUAGACCGAAAUAAAUAAUAGAAAUCGUGGAGUUCGGUUUUACGCGCAGAUCAAAGUUUGUAAGGAGAUUAUCGGCUACAUACUGAAAUUGUUCAGGGAAUUUGUUAGUAAUACAUUUAAAUAUGCGUUAAUCACUCACUGUCACAAUAUAAAAUAUUAAUACUGCAAGAUAAAAUUCAAUAGACUCGUAAUUUGUAUUAUUCAAAUUUGUUGGUGGAUAAUGUUAUUGCUAUUCAUGUUAAUGUUUCCCUAUAAAUUGUGGGUGUGUCUAAUUUGGAGUAGUAAAAGAAAGAAGACAUUGGAGCAAAGGUAUAUAGGAAAUUAAAGUACAUAUUUAAGUGACUCAGAGGGAACUGAAGGUAAGCAAAUCUCUGGCCAACAAACUGACUUCCUCUUCUGGGUAGUCUCCUUGUUUAAGUUGGCGAAUGCUGCCAUAAUCCUUGCCUUCAGUUCAUCUACAAGGAAUUUUGUUGGUCUCACGCCCAACUGUACCCCACACAUAAUAAUCAGGUAGGGGGUGCAGUCUUGAGACUUAGGUUGACAGAUGUUAGGGUGAUGUGGUCGCACAAAUUGCCAAACAGACUUGACUGGGUUCUCCUGCUUAUGUGACAUUAUGCAGAGUCCUGUUGCCAGACAUAGGGUCUUCCAGCAGCCAUCCCUUGAUCCAGGGAAGCACUACCUUCUCCAGGCACUUGAUGUAUGCCUCCGUGUUUAGUGUGAGGCUGUAUGAGAAGAUGGAUGGAAGCAUAACGUCGCCAUCAUUACAGAUCACUCCAAACACCAUGAUGUUGACUGGAUGUUUGGGAGGCUGGAACGUAAUUUUUCUGAUGAAUGGUGGCUAUUCACGGCUUAAUAUUAUGUCCUAAGUGUGAAAUCAAACUUACCUUAUUUCACCCACCAUUCACUAACCUAUAUGGCAUCGAAGACUUUCUAUAGAAAUGUAAGUUUAAUCGUGCAUAAAUUAUUUGUACCUAGCGAGGCAAAGAAGAUCCUGCAUUUUAGGUAUAAAAAGAAGAGUGAAUGAUAGGUUUAUCGGGCCAACAUAAUUGAUAUAAAAGGUCUUAAAAUGAGGGUGAAUAAGAAAGGAAGAGUAUAAGUGAUUGAGUGUAGAAAAGUUGUUUCUCUGUAUGUAUCUGACUAUCUCUAUAGAGACAAAAACCGUGUUUUACUUACUACAUUCUUUGCCAAAAAUCUGUAUUGACCAGACUUGAUUCUCUGACAGAAACAUCACUCAGUCAUAUGGUUUGCCAUCUUCUUAGCAACAACAGUUAGAAAGCUACUUCAUUACAGUUAUACGGAAGAUUAAAAAUAUUAUCGUGUUUUACGUAAAGACAAACAGGUGGAGGUGCAGUCAUUUUUAUUUAGAGUUUGUUGGCAAAGUUGCAGAAAAUGUUAACAUUCGAAAGCAAUUCAAUAAGCCAAGUAUAUUAAAUCGUUGUCUUAGAAAUCUAACACUAAUUUCCCAGAAAUAUAGUUAAUAGCUACAUAGAACACACUAUUAUUUAUCGUUUUUUAACAACCGUUUCCUGCCGUGGAAACACACUAAUCAGUGUGAAUAAACAUCAGCAUUUAUCACGCAUACUAUAAAAAGGACUACUCGUAUCUUAAAGCAAUGAACACGUAAGGAAUGGCAUAGAUUUUUGAAUUAAGGGUAAUAGAACUAUAUUUGCUAAAUGUUCUCCAAUAAACGAAUUGAUGUUUUUGUUGCUGUUUAACAUCAGCUGAACUCUGUCUCAGACCAAAGGCAUUACAAGGCUAUCGACCAGACUUAUCGCCUGACAAAGAAUAUCUAGGACAGUAUUAUACAAUGUGUACUUGGAUUUUCUGAAGAUAUGCUGUAACUAAAAGGUAUCGAGUUGCUAUAUCUGGUUGUCCAAGCGAUCAAGCAUAGAAACUAUAUGAAUAGAGUUCGCAAUGAGGUGAUUUUGUUUCUUUUAUAUUUGCUGAGAGACUGCUUUGAAGACUUAUUGUCGAACUAAUUUUCUUUGAAAAUCGGGUAUUAUUAUUAUUGAUCCUACUUAUCAAACAACUAUGUUACUGGGGAAUAAACAAACCAGUAACAGAUUUCAAACGGUGACUACGGGCGAUCACAGUCAGAAACACACACACACGCAAACACACACGCACUCACACAUGCACACUAUUUCUAUUUAUCCGUAUCUAUAUCUAUCUAUCUAUCUAUCCCUCUCUCUCACUAUAUAUAGUGGAAGAGCGCCAAAAGCAACAUUUCAAAGCGAGUUUCUUUACCACAUGCAUGUCUCAAAAUAACAGUAAAGAAAUAUAGGAGAAUUAAUUGUUAAAAUAUUAUAUGUCAGUGUCAAUGUCGGUUUCAAAUUUUGGCAAAAGGCCAGCAAUUUCGAGAAGGAUGUAAAUCGAUUAUAUCGAACCCAAUGUUCAUUUGUUACACAUUUUCAUCGACUCCGAAAAAACGAAAGGCAGAGUCGACUUCGGAUAAAUUUGAAUUCAAAACAUAAGACAGACAAAAUAACGAAAUGGUAGAUAGAUAGAUAGAUAGAUAGAUAGAUAGAUAGAUAGAUAGAUAGAUAGAUAGAUAGAUAGAUAGAUAGAUAGACAGAUAGAUAGAUACAUAGAUGGAUAGAUAGAUAAAUAAGGAUAUAUAUAUAUAUAUAUAUAUAUAUAUAUAUAUAUAUACACGUGCGCGCACGCACACAAUCGCACAGACAUAUACACACAUAUACAUAUACACAUACAUACAUCCAUACAUACUUACAUACAUACAUGCAUGCAUACAUAUAUAUUUUCAAAUUAAAUUUAUUAGUGGAUAUAUUUACAUAUACGGAACGGCAUUAGUUAAUCACACCCGACGACCAGUAAUUGAAUUGAAAAUAUUUACUGAAAAUAUUUUUGUUUGUUUGCUGAACUAAAAGUCAUAUUUAAAUAUGUAAUUACGUGUAAAAACCAAGAGAAAUAUGAAUUAUUGACACACGAAUAUAUAUAUAUAUAUAUAUAUAUAUAUAUAUAUAUAUAUAUAUAUAUAUAUUAUAUUAUAUUAAAUUAGAGACAAAACCACUAUUAGGCAAAUCAAACAAUGAAAAACUUAAGUUUGGAUUUAUUCCUUAAUAUUUAUUAUAUAUAUAUAUAUAUGCAUAAACAAGCUUCUUAAAUGUGUGUGUGCAUUAAUAUGUGUUUAUUCCCGCUAGCAACAUUGCAGUAUAGCUGCAACUAUACGCGCACGCACACACAUAAAUAAAUAAACAAAUAAAUAAACAUACCUACACUCGAAUACAUACAGUCAAACAUACUCAAG
rnacentral:lncRNA from 1 species